UUCUCUACCACGAUACUUCCUCUUCAAAACACAACUACUCUUCUUCUUUCCUUCAUUGCUCCACUUUCCAUCCACCAUAACUCAAAGUUUAUUAAUCCUUUUGUUAAAUAGGAACCUCCUAAACAAUCUGGGAGCUUAGAGUUUUGUUUCCAUCCGAUCAAACCCUCUUUUCUUCAACUGGUAAAAAAACCCCACUUUCCAUUUCCUUAGGGCUAUAAACAUGCAACAAGUUUGAUUGCAUGUGACCCAUUGCUCCUUCUUUCAAUUUGUAAUUGUUACUGUGCUCUAAAAUUUUUAUUUUAUCAUCAAUUGAUGAUUUAUAGGCACUGUUAGGAUUUCCCUGAGACGCGGGGCAAUAUCGUUCACCUAUGAGCUUAACUGUUGGAGUUAGAGGUAAGGGAAGCUAGGAUUCUCGUUACUGUUUUGUGGGACUCUUGGUUGCUUGAAUUAAAUUUUUGUGUACUUAUGCUGAUAUAAUGCUUGAUGGGCUGUUUUGAUGAUUCUACUGUUGUUUGAAGUAGAGGUUUGUGGUUCUUGUAUAUGAACAUGUAGUGAUGAUUGACUAUGUUAUGAAUUGUGAAUGUAUGACUCGAAUUUGAUAUGAGUAAUGUAUGACGAUGAAAUUGAGUUGGGUAAGCUGUAAAUGGUCAUUAGGCAGGUUACUUAGUAAAGGUUUAGUGGUUGAAACUGUUUCAAGUUAGGGGGAGAGGAAGUGAGGUAGUCGAAAUUGGCAAUUGAGGUUGAGGGCUGUUAUGGUCAGUUUAGACAGUUUAGGCAAGUCAUAUAUGACUUGCUAGAAGUGUCGCAAUGUUGUAAAAUAACUUCUAUUUGGUAAAUUCAGACUUAGUACCUUGAGUUGAUGAAAUGAAGGUUGUGAGUGGAAAUUUGAUACAUAGAAGCUAAGAAAUGAUUCUAGGAACAAUUCAAUUUAUUUAUACAAGUUUAAUUCAUCAUAUACUUCGAAUUAGAGAUGUUGGAAAUUCACCUAAUAGCCUAAAACGAGUUUGGAAAUGGGUUGGAGGGGCGUAAACUGCAAAAUUAUGCAGAAUUCGUGUUGCAGAGUCUUCAGAUUCGCACGGUGCACCAGGAGGGUGCGCUGAGCGAAAUUUUCUAGGCCUCUCUAGCAGCUUAAUUCGCAUAAUGCACCAGGAAGGGUGCGUUGAACGAAUUUUUUGCGACAAAUUGAGUGUUUUUGAUGUUUUUGACAUUUUGGGAGUUUUGGACGUCCGUUUUGGACGUUCUUUAGGUCGUUCUGGGGGUUUUUGACCCUUCCGGAUCCAUUGGUGAGGGUCUCCAAGCUUUUUAAGUUAAGUAAGUGUUGGUAAUAAUAUGCUAUAAAAAAAUUUAUGAUAAUAAGUGAUGUUUCUGUGAAAAUAGGUAAUGUCUGAGUAUGUAUGAGUUGUUUUUAUGACAUAACUAAAGGAUGAUUGUGCAACAUGAUUAAGAGUAUGAUGUAUUGCGUUGUGAAUUAUAGUUUGAAAGCAUGUAUUUACAAAGUAUGUGAUUUAUGUAAGUGUAACAAAGUGGUGGUUGGUGUAAGUGUAACAAAGUGGUGGUUGGUGUAAGUGUAACAAGUAUGGUUGAUGGACGUAAUUCCAUGAUCCUCAAGGGAGGUUACAUAGUGGUGCCCUGUGGUUUGUUGUGAUUGACCGUAUGAAUGGCCGGAGUGUCCUUAUGGGGUUUAUCCUGACAUUCUAAUAAUCAUUCAUGCUCAAAUAGAGAGUGAUGACAUGUGGUGAGAAUAACAGGAGGUCCUACCUAGUCUUGGGUGUCUCCAUUAUGGGCCAAGAUGAGUUUGGAUGGACUAACCUUGGGUGGCAGCUGUUGAGUGUAUCCUAGUUACUACACCACCCGGGUGUACAAACCCUUGGAACUUGACAUUUCAUACUAGUUCGGAUGAUCAAAUCACAUGGUCGGUCAUUGGUGUCAACAAAAUGCGUUCGGUCUUAGUCUGUAUUGUGUUAUAGUCUUGGCAUGUUGUGUGUGUGAUUGUAUAACAUGAUAGUUAGUUCCAUUUAAUGUAUAAUCUGAUAGAAUGUUUAUUUGCUUGCUUGUGUGCAUAUUGUUAAGUAUAUGUUAGUUUGAAUUUGGACUUAUCUUGCAUGAUUUUCAACCUAGCUUACCCUUGCAUUGUGUGUGUUAUAUGUGUGUCUCUCCCCUUGCGAUGAUCAUCCAAUCCUUUGGAUGUGAGCAGUAGCUGAUGAUGUACCACUGGAGCGCGCAUUGGAGAACGAAGAAGAACCGGCCCUGAUGCUUAGGAAUUCAACUAGCUCUUAGUUUAGAGAACUCUUUAUUUUGAAAAGACUUCUAGUUUUUAUUUUAUCCUGGUCUAUAUUUUGAAAACACUCUUUAGGUCUCCUUGAACCUUUAUUCAGUUAUGUAUUUUGGAGAGUUAUGAAGCUUGUAUUUGAGAUUUAAAUUCCUUCUAUAUUUUGGAUAAUUGUACCACAUAAUGUUACCAUUUGGAAUACUCUUAAGUGUUCUCUUUU
rnacentral:lncRNA from 1 species